rnacentral:misc_RNA from 1 species
CGCAGGGUGGAAGAAAUGGAGAAAUUUAUCCAAUUUCAAGACAAAGAGAUGAAAGACUAUGUUGCAGAGAGAGAUGGGCUUAUCAAAGCACAUGAGGAGAAGUUUGCUGCAAUGAAGAGGAGGCAUUGGGAAGAAGAGUUUGAGUUAGAGAAAGAGUUUGAUGCUGAACUAACAUCUUUGAUGGAGAAAUACACACAUCCACAGAGCGC